UACGGGGGGGGGCAAGCGUUGUUCGGAAUUACUGGGCGUAAAGCGCACGUAGGCGGUUAUUCAAGUCAGAGGUGAAAGCCCGGGGCUCAACCCCGGAACGGCCUUUGAAACUAGAUAGCUAGAAUCUUGGAGAGGUCAGUGGAAUUCCGAGUGUAGAGGUGAAAUUCGUAGAUAUUCGGAAGAACACCAGUGGCGAAGGCGACUGACGGGACAAGUAUUGACGCUGAGGUGCGAAAGCGUGAGGAGCAAACAGG
rnacentral:rRNA from 1 species